rnacentral:rRNA from 1 species
GACGGAGGGUGCUAGCGUUGUUCGGAAUCACUGGGCGUAAAGGGCGCGUAGGCGGCCUCAGGUGUCGGAUGUGAAAGCCCGGGGCUCAACCCCGGAGGUGCAUCCGAAACUCUGGGGCUGGAGUUCGGUAGGGGAGACUGGAAUUCCUGGUGUAGCGGUGAAAUGCGCAGAUAUCAGGAGGAACACCGGUGGCGAAGGCGGGUCUCUGGGCCGAUACUGACGCUGAGGAGCGAAAGCGUGGGGAGCGAACAGG